rnacentral:lncRNA from 1 species
GCAACCCGUUCCAUCUGAUCCAUCACAUCCAGUGGUUGCUGUCGUUGGCAGGAUUUCUAGGAACAGCCCCCAAGAUUCCACACCCUAGUGCCUGAAACUCGGAAAUGUGAUGAAAUAUCACAGCAUGUGUCCAGGCACGGUGGCUCAUGCCUGUAAUCACAGUGCUUUGGGAGGCUAAGACAGGAGGAUCGCUUGAGGCCAAAAGAUCGAGACACAUUGCAAUGUGUCAUGUUAUAAGGCACCGUUGACUUUCAAAACGGAAGAUCAUCCAGCUUCGUUGAGCCCCUGAGAAGAGGAAGAGGAAGAAGAGGAAGAAGAAGAAGAGGAAGAGGAAGAGGAAGAAGAAGAAGAAGAAGAAGAAGAAGAGGAAGAAGAAAAAGAAGAAAAGGAGGAGGAGGAGGAGGAGGAAUCCCCAGAACCUCCAGGGAUACUGUCUCUCAAGACAACCAACUCAAUAUGGAGACUUACAAAUUGUUUUCUUUUGGAGCUCAGCAUUCGGUGGUGAUGGAAGUACAGUCCUGGCAAAAAAAGAAGUGUCACACCGCGGCCCCCACUGUCUACUGCUCAGACUAACUCCCCACCUGUGAUAGUCAGGCCAUCACUGAUGAGCUUGGAGACUGUUCUUUAAUGGUGAAUUUUUCCCUAAAUCUUCAGAAAAAGAAUCUAUAUGUCCACUGUUUCUGGAGUACCUCUUUCUAGAGUGCCUCUCAAUGAUUUUGUUGAUUUAUAAAAUGGGGAUAAUGCUCUAUAUCUUUCUGUAGAGGCGCUUAUAAAGAUAUUUAUAUAAAGUACCUAGCAUAGUGGCUGAUAGACAGUAGGCAGGUUUUGUUGCUGUUCUGAUUUGUAAUGAUUACAAUCAUUCCCAACUGCUUUCUGAGCAUUUGUACCUGGAUAUCUCAAAGGAUUCUCAAACUCAACAUCUCUAAAACUAAACUCAUGGCCUCUAUUCCCAAAUCUGUCUGCCUAUGCUGUAUUCUGCUUUUGUCUAGGAUACUACCACCCACCCAAUUAUCCAAGCUACAAUACUGUAUGUCUUUCUUCUCCUCCUCUUCCCCCUCAUUCCCCUCCUCCCCCACUCCUCCUCCUCCUUCUCCUCCCUCUCCUCCUUCUCCUCCUUUUCCUUCUUCUCACUCAAAAAUGAUUGGCCAUCAGGUCCUAACUAUUCUGUCCCCCAAAAAUGUUUUCAAUCCAUUUCACUCUAUAUUAAUCCAAGACUAUUAUUUUCUACCUGGACCACAACAAAAGCCACAUAACUCGCCCCCACUGUAAACCAUCAUCUUCAUUGCCUUCUACAACUUAAACCUGAUCAUGACACCCUCAUCAGUGACUAAAGCCCUACAGUGACUUUCCACUAUUGACAAGACAUUGACCAACUCCUUGGCACACACAAAAUGCCUUUCACAAUCCAGCCCCUUCCCUCCCUUUGGCCUCAUCUUCUGCCCCUCGCCACCAGUAUGCACCUACACUCCAGCCAUACCCACCUUCCUGCUCUUCCUCAGAUGCACCCUCUUUUUCCUUCCUCCAUGCUUCCAGAUAGUACUGCGUCUGUUUAGGAUGCUUUCCCACACUUUUCACUUGGCAAAUUUGCCUCUCAAGAGCUGAUUCAAAGCGGGGCAUGGUAGCCUGGUACAGUGGCUCACACCUGUAAUCCCAGCACUUUGGGAGGCUGAGGUGGGCAGAUCCCCUGAGGUCAGGAGUUCAAGACAAGCCUGGACAACAUGGUGAAACCCCAUCUCUACUAAAAAUACAAAAAGUAGCCGGGCAUGGUGGCAGGUGCCUGUAAUCCCAGCUACUCGAGAGGCUGAGGCAGGAGAAUCAUUUGAACCCGGAGGCAGAGGCUGCAGUGAGCAGAGAUUGUGCCACUGCACUCCAGCCUGGGCAACAGAGCAAGACUCCAACUCAAAAAAAAAAAAAUGCUGGCCAUGGUGAUGCAUGUCUAUAAUCCCAGUACUUUGGGAGGCUGAGGCAAGAGAAUCCCUUGAGGCCAGGAGUUGCUGAAAAACACAGCAAAUCCCAUCUCUACAAAAAAAUGUUAAAAUUAGCUGGGCAUGGCAAUGCAUGCCUGUAAUCCCAACUACUCAGGAAGCUGAGGUGAGAGGGUCACUUAAGCCCAGGAGUUCAAGACUGUAGAGCACUGUGAUCACCCCCGUGUUAGCCACUGUACUCCAACCUGGACAACACAGCAAGACCCUGUCUCUUAAAAAAUAAAUAAAUAAAAGAGCAGAGCAGGGGUGAGGUGGCUCACGCCUGUAAUCCCAGCACUUUGAGAGGCCAAAGCAGGCGGAUCACUUAAGGUCAGGAGUUUGAGACCAGCCUGGGCAACAUUGUGAAACCCCAUCUCUACUAAAAAUACAAAAAUUAGCUGGGUGUGGUGGUGGGAGUCUGUAAUCCCAGCUACUUGGGAGGCUGAGGCAGGAGAAUUGCUUGAACGCGGGAGGUGGAAGUUGCAGUGAGCUGAGAACGUGUCACUGAGUUCCAGCCUGGGUGACAGAGUAAGACUCCGUCUCAAAAAAAAAAGAGCUGAUCCAAAUAUCUCCUCCAAUUUGAACUUUUCUGACAUAUGGAUCAAAACUAAUCUCUCUUCAAUAUUCCCACAGCAUUUUCUAAAGAUUUUAAUGAGAUCUAAUUCACAUACAGUAAAUUCACCUAUUGAAGAGUUCUCAGUGUAUUAUAGGGUAUGUAACUAUUACCACAAUCUAAUUUGAAAAUAUUUUCAUGGCCCCUAAAAAAACCAUUUCUCAUUAGCAGUAAUCACUCUUCCUCUCUCUGCCCCAGCCCCAGGCACCUAUUCAUCUACUUAAUGUCUCUGUGGACUUGCCACAUAAAGGGAAUUCUGUCAGUAUGGACUUGCAUAGCUCAUAUAAAAGGAAUCAUACAAUAUGUGGUCUUUCGUGGCUGGCUUCUUUCACUUAGCAUGUUUUUAAGAUUUAUCCAUACAAUACAUGUGUCAGUACUUCAUUGAUUUUAAUUGCUGAGUAAUAUAUUCCAUUGUAUGGAUAUAACACAUUGUCCAUCUGUUCAUCCAUCAGCUGGUAGACAUUUGGGUGGUUUCCAUUCUUUUGACUAUUAUGAAUAAUGCUGCUAUGAACACUGUGUGUAAGUUUUGUGUGUUCUGAAACAUUUUGCACACGAUUCCAUUAUAACAUUCUCACUUUGUAUUACAAUUAUUUUUACAUUCUUCCUUAUUGAAUUCUAAAAUUGUCUAAGACUUUACCACUCUCAAGACCUGCCACUGUCACAAGCAAAUCUGAUGAAUACGUGAAUGAAUGAAUGAAUGAAUGAAUGAACAGAGCAAAUAAUAAAUGGAUACUCUUUUGAGCAAGGUAGAGCCAGCAGGGUCAUAUUUAUUUUCUGCAAACAAAAGAAGAGUUUUGGCAAUAAGCCAGGAAGGCGUUGGCAACAUAGGAAGAGAAUAACCCUAAACUCAACUAACUAAAUAAAUAUUAACAGCAUCUCCCAUGUGCAUGUGAAUAUUGCUAUAUGGCUUCUCUUGUUCUUUCAUAGGCAUCAUAUCAUUUGAUAUGUGAAGUUGGCAGGAAAGGCUGCUAUCAAAAUUAAGUAAAGUGCCUGGUUGAGCGUCUGCAGCACAGUGGAGAGAACAGAGCACUUCCCAAGGCUGCCCAGAGGAAAGUGGCGGGGCUAGGCUGGCUGUCUCCCCAUGCCCACCACUCUUCCUUCCAUCAUACAGACUCCUGUUUCAAUAUCAAGACCUACAUUAGGCCUGGCAUGGUGGCUUAUGCCUAUAAUCCCAGUACUUUGAGAUGCCGAGGCG